AUGGGCUCCUCCUAUGGCUGGCUCAUCACCGGCGACGAGCGGUCGAAUCUCAUACUAGUCAACCCUGUAACCAGAGCUCAGAUAGCUAUGCCUCCCCCUGAAACCAUGAACAAUGUUAGACUGCGCUACACUGAAGACGGUGUGCUAGACGGAUAUGAUGUUCUUUACAUGGAUCUGUUCUCUCGGGAUUUUGACACUGAAAUGGAGCCGUACCAUCUUACACUUGAAGAAGCCCGCUUCUACCUCUAUGCGAGGGUCGUUCUUUCUUGUGAUCCCUCGCAUGGAAACUGCACAGUUCUCGUAGUACAAUUGCCAAAGGAUCAACUCUCUUAUACUAGGGUUGGGGACACCAAAUGGACCUGGAUUGAUGCAAAUCCAAAUUGUAGGGCUUAUCAAGAUAUACUUUAUAACACUAAUGAUGGUUUGUUUUAUGGUGUUCGUGGUAGGGAUCAGGUUGAUACUAUUAAUCUUAAUGGACCUUCCGCUGAAGUGAAAGUUAUUUUGAAGCCGAUCAUAUCCUAUCAAGCGCAUAGUAGAUAUAUUGUUCAAGCACCAUGGGGAGAUUUUUUCCAGAUAUGGAGACAUGAUAAAUAUAAUAAGGAGAAUGGGAGAAAGGACCGGGUUGCAGACAAGUUUUUCGUGUACAAGAUUGAUUUUGUUGAACAAAGGUCGUCCAAACAAAUAACAUCCAAGAUCACGCAAUGUUCAUUGGUUACAACAGUUCAUUCAUGCUUCCAGUGA
rnacentral:rRNA from 1 species